rnacentral:sRNA from 1 species
GCUGCUGACUCUGCUGCCCCCUCCGGUUCUGAGAUGCCGGCAGUUCACUGUGGCUGGAAAACACUUGACCGUGCUCAAGGUGCUGAACAGCUCCUCUCAGGAGGAAAUCUCCAUCUGGGAUAUCCGAAUCCUCCCCAACUUCAAUGCCAGUUAUCUACCUGUCAUGCCGGAUGGCUCUGUGCUGCUGGUGGACAAUGUCUGGUGAGGUCCUGGGAGGGGCAAGGCUGUGAAGUGGUGGGGAUGGCUUCAGGGGCUGAGCUCUGGCAUGGGGAGACCAUGCCUUGUCCUCUUUUCUGAGCUAGUCACCAGUCUGGGGAAGUCUCCAUGGGCUCCUUCUGCCGCCUACCCGGGACCUC